rnacentral:rRNA from 1 species
AGAGUUUGAUCCUGGCUCAGAGCGAACGCUGGCGGCAGGCCUAACACAUGCAAGUCGAACGAACUCUUCGGAGUUAGUGGCGGACGGGUGAGUAACACGUGGGAACGUGCCUUUAGGUUCGGAAUAACUCAGGGAAACUUGUGCUAAUACCGAAUGUGCCCUUCGGGGGAAAGAUUUAUCGCCUUUAGGGCGGCCCGCGUCUGAUUAGCUAGUUGGUGAGGUAAAGGCUCACCAAGGCGACGAUCAGUAGCUGGUCUGAGAGGAUGAUCAGCCACAUUGGGACUGAGACACGGCCCAAACUCCUACGGGAGGCAGCAGUGGGGAAUCUUGCGCAAUGGGCGAAAGCCUGACGCAGCCAUGCCGCGUGAAUGAUGAAGGUCUUAGGAUUGUAAAAUUCUUUCACCGGGGACGAUAAUGACGGUACCCGGAGAAGAAGCCCCGGCUAACUUCGUGCCAGCAGCCGCGGUAAUACGAAGGGGGCUAGCGUUGCUCGGAAUUACUGGGCGUAAAGGGAGCGUAGGCGGACAUUUAAGUCAGGGGUGAAAUCCCGGGGCUCAACCUCGGAAUUGCCUUUGAUACUGGGUGUCUUGAGUAUGAGAGAGGUGUGUGGAACUCCGAGUGUAGAGGUGAAAUUCGUAGAUAUUCGGAAGAACACCAGUGGCGAAGGCGACACACUGGCUCAUUACUGACGCUGAGGCUCGA